UUUAAAUAAGAAUGUAGGAUUAUGACAUUAAGUCAGAUGUGAAAAAUGUCUGGUCACCAUCAAAUGAAAUAAUCACCUAUAUUAAAUGUAUACUGACCAGAAGGAUUGCAUAGCUCACAAUGGGAAUUUUCAAAAAAACAUGGCUGCUUGAAGCGAGGGAUAUUUUACAGCUAUCUACACAACUUUUUAUAUGUUUAUAAUGACUCGGUUUGAUCUGAAAUGUGCUACACGAACGAUGCAUAGUAUUGUAGGUCUUAACUGAAGCUUUCAAACGGUAGUUUUAUAUACGCGCUACAAUUAGCGCGUAUACCACCACUCCAUUGGCUUAUAUGGUAGCUUGCCAGCUAGAUGCUACACACACCCUCAACUCUUCAAUGAUGGUGGCAGCAUCUCAGAAGUCCCACAAAUGACACUGGUGAAAGAGAUGGGGCUGGUGGGGAUGAUUUCAGGACAGCAGGCUGCCAAGAAGUGGGAGAACCUUAAGCAGAGAUAUAGGGAGCUACGAACACCCAAAACCGGGUCGGGGACUGACAGGGGGGAGGUGACUGCUGCCAACGGGCAGUUCUUUGAGGAUAUGCAUGAGGUGAUGGGUGACAGGCCUGCAAUGGACCCUCCUGUGGUGGUGGCCUCCUUUUCAGAGGAUCCCACGCAACUCCUCAUGGAAAUGGUUGAGCCUCCAUUGGCACCCAGCACCUCUGCAGCCAGCCUCUCUGCAGCCAGCACCUCUGCAGCCAGCACCUCUGCACCCAGCCCCCCUGCAGCCAUCACCUCUGCAGCCAGCCCCCCUGCAGCGACAGGCUCCCCAUCUCCCUCACCCAGAAAAAAAACAACAACAAUCCAGUACUGGAAUUCCUAGUAGAGGAAUCAGCAAAAGAGGAGAGGCGAAACGAAGAGGAGAAAAGACGGCACACAGAAAGUCAGGAGAAAACAGACCGUCUCUUGAGUCUUUUCGAAAAAAUGGUUGACAAAAUGUAGGGGUUAUUUUGGUUUUGUUUGUUCAUUUCUUCAUUUUUUGCAGUUCAGUCGUUAUUGUUGUACAUAUAUUUUUUUGUGUUACGUUUGUUAAUUUUAUUUAAAAAAAAAAUUGUUUACAAAGUGUUUCUGAAC
ensembl:lncRNA